CCUAGCCAUUUACUUCUCCUCUUUCUUACUUUUGAUGGUUAAAGAUUAGUAGAAGUAGAGAGGAUGAGAAGAAAAGAUGGCAAGUUGCUGAUCAGUGGUCUCUGCUUGGAUGGAACGAAGCGCGCUGGAACUGACGUAUUUUUUGGUAAUCUCUCUGGUGUUACGAAAAGAAGAUCUCUCAGCAUGAAGCAAAGGAGCUAUUUCUUUCUGCACUAGUUAAUGAAAGUAAGCUGUGAUUUUCUCUCUCUUUUCAAUCAAGUCUUACUGUGCCUUUAGUUUAUGCCUUCAGCAAAAUAGCUUGGAAGGCAAUGGAAAUAGUAGCUCUUUAAAGUCCACCAUGUCACAGGUCGUGCUGAAUCACAAUGUUAAAUCCAAAACAUCUAUUAUCCAUUGUUGGAAUUUAACUUCUUUUGAAGAAUUAACAGAUGAUAUUAUAGUCUUAGAAUUUAAUGACAUGAAUAUAAUUUUAGAGUCCAUAGAUUGAAGAUGACAUAAGAUGGCAGAGGAUGAAAGCAUUGAAUAUAGAUGACCUAAUAGGGUAAAGGAAGAGAAAUAAUUAACUUGAAAAAACAUGAAAUAAAUGAACUAAUUGGAAAUGAACUAAUAGGGUAAAUACUAUCAUUGACUGAAACCCAAUCAAAUGGCACCAACUUUAGUUGCUAAAUCUUUACCAAGAUCUAAUUUAGAUAGGUUUAUUUUAGUGUUUCUUUUUCAAAAAAUGCUUUAAAAAUAAUGCAAAUAUUUUAUAAUUACAUAUUUUUAUUUUAAGAAUAGAUGAGAUUUAAAAAAGAGGAAACAAAAAUGAAAAGGUUAUAUUUAAUUACUUCUUUUUAUCGAAAAUAAUGGCCCCUCAAAAAACUUUCUUUCUUGGAAAGGUUUUUUCCCCCAAGAAACACCUGUUUGUUUGCUAACUUCUACAAAAACCAAUUUUAAAACAAUUCACUUGGAAAGAGUGGAAUUCAUGUAUGGAAGCAAUUGACAACAAAGAUAGAAUAGUAAACAUAGAGUUGUUGAGAAAUAUCAGCUGGUGGAAACCUUAAUUUUUUUAAGGUCACAACUGCAGUUUUUAGUUUCUAAAAUCUGUGAAGAUGCUGUAUUUUUGGACUUAGCAUGUAAAAGUCUUCAGAUACUUUCUAUAGCAGCUAUGCCUGAUAUGACUAAGUGGAGUGAAUGUGUAUGCCUCACAACAUAAGUUAUUAAGAAAUUUUCCCUUAAAGUUUCUCCCGUCUAAUUUUUCUUCUUUUUUUCUAGGUUCCUAAAAGGGGUUCCAUGAAUUAGUUAUCAAUGCACAUAUAAAGAUUUGCAUAUAAAUUUAAUUUGUCCAGGGAAGGAUCUUGCCCUUGGUAAGUGUUUCAUUUGCCGAAACUUAUGCUAGCUUUUGAAACGCUGAGUUCAUAAUAAUGCUCUCACUAAUAAAUUUCAUUCCAAAUUUGAAUUGGCUUUGAUACUUUAGUAAUCUGAACUAAAUAAGCUAUUCUAUGUCGUAAUUAAGGCUUGUCUGUUGGUAGAAGGGAUUGUUUUGAAGAUAAAUCUCCAAAUACAAAAUGGUUGCAUUUCAUGAUGCCAAAAAUUAAAUUUCUUCCAAUCACAUGUGAGUGUGUAUUAUGCUGGUGUUGAAAUGACUUGGGUAUAUAUUUGAGCUGGUAAAUUCUAAUGAAUAAGAGUACGGAAGGGUUAUAACCAAAAUUUUAUUUCAAGAAAUUCUCAGCCCAUGAUAUAAUAUAUAUAUUUUUUUUUUGGCAUUUUCAUAUUACAUGAUCAAUCUUAUGGUAGAGUUCUAUUUAAUGAAUGUAAUUCAUUUUCCCUAUAUUGCCAUUUGCAUUCUGUUUAAAUAAUUCUGCCAUCUUUCAGGGGAUGACAGUGUAAGGACCUUUUCAGCAUCUCUUAUAACAUAUGCUUCUAUUCAAGCUUUGAAGCCUGACCUUAUCGUUAAUGCUAGAACUGUUGGUGGUUUUAGUGUAUGUUUAAAAUUUUUUUGUCCAAUUACAAGGAUAUCCCAUCAACCUGAAUAUAUUGACCCUGAUUUUUCUUAUAAUGCAUCUUCUUUCUUGUCUGUGGAUUAUCUUUUCCCUUUAGCCAUCUUUUGUAACAGGACAAACAAAUAUAUUCAUGGAUAAUAUAGGCAAAAGGAGCAUGUGUUGGAGACAUCUACUUGGCAUCCGAUGUUGCUUUUCAUGACGGAAGAAUCCUAAUACAUGUCGGGAAAUUGUCAAAUGGCAAUUCAUUAGAAAUGACUCCACAAGAUGAAACAGCAAUUCUAGCAAAUGAUGCUAUUGUCAAAGAUAUGGAGGAGAAUUCAUGGAUACAGAUAAAGA